UUUCACAGGGUGACCAGGGUCAAGCAGGGCCCCCAGGGCCUCCUGGACCUCCAGGUCCCCCAGGCCCCAGGGGACCCCCAGGGGACACAGGAAAAGAUGGUCCUCGGGGAGUCCCAGGGCUCCCUGGAGACCCUGGAAUGCCAGGAGAGAUUGGUCAAAUGGGUUCCAUUGGGCCACCUGGUAUUCCAGGUAUCGAUGGAAUGAAGGUAAGAUAACAUAUCUUCACUUCCUUUAAAAUCUUAUGGUUUUGAAUACA
rnacentral:lncRNA from 1 species